rnacentral:rRNA from 1 species
AUUGAACGCUGGCGGCAUGCCUUACACAUGCAAGUCGAACGGUAACAGGUUAAGCUGACGAGUGGCGAACGGGUGAGUAAUGUAUCGGAACGUGCCCAGUCGUGGGGGAUAACUGCUCGAAAGAGCAGCUAAUACCGCAUACGACCUGAGGGUGAAAGCGGGGGAUCGCAAGACCUCGCGCGAUUGGAGCGGCCGAUAUCAGAUUAGGUAGUUGGUGGGGUAAAGGCCUACCAAGCCUACGAUCUGUAGCUGGUCUGAGAGGACGACCAGCCACACUGGGACUGAGACACGGCCCAGACUCCUACGGGAGGCAGAAGUGGGGAAUUUUGGACAAUGGACGCAAGUCUGAUCCAGCCAUGCCGCGUGCGGGAAGAAGGCCUUCGGGUUGUAAACCGCUUUUGUCAGGGAAGAAAAGGUUCUGGUUAAUACCUGGGACUCAUGACGGUACCUGAAGAAUAAGCACCGGCUAACUACGUGCCAGCCGCCGCCGUAAAAC